rnacentral:rRNA from 1 species
GUAGGGAAUAUUGGGCAAUGGUCGGAAGACUGACCCAGUCAUGCCGCGUGCAGGAAGACGGCCCUCUGGGUUGUAAACUGCUUUUAUCUGGGAAGAAAAAGGCCAUGCGUGGCAAAUUGCCGGUACCAGAUGAAUAAGCACCGGCUAACUCCGUGCCAGCAGCCGCGGUAAUACGGAGGGUGCGAGCGUUGUCCGGAUUUAUUGGGUUUAAAGGGUGCGUAGGCGGCUGAUUAAGUCAGCGGUGAAAGACUUCGGCUUAACCGGAGCAGUGCCGUUGAUACUGGUUGGCUUGAGUGUCGGAGGGGUACAUGGAAUUGAUGGUGUAGCGGUGAAAUGCAUAGAUACCAUCAGGAACACCGAUAGCGAAGGCAUUGUACUGGCCGACAACUGACGCUGAUGCACGAAAGUGUGGGGAUCGAACAGGAUUAGAUACCCUGGUAGUCC